ensembl:lncRNA
GGCAGCUGGACGCCAUUCCCUCGUGCUGCAAAAUCCACCAAAUCUUUUACAGGAUUUCUUUUUCCAUUGCAGAUGGUCCUUUGCACAUGUUUGAUUCCCAUUGGCCCGGGGUCCCGGGCUGACAGUACUGCAGCUAUGCAGGUAGUGCAUAUAAGGGUGCACUGUGCCUGCACCAGGCCCUUGCACACCGGAGAGGGGGAAACUGGAGAAGAAGGACUGCAGGGGAUAAGCAACAUGAGAGGAGGAACAGUAUGCCUUCAGUCACUGCAGUGGAAGAGAUCUACAAGUUCCACCAGUUAUGAAUCAGGAGAGGAAAUCUGAUGACACUUUAUGUUGUGGCUUGGGUAUGUAUGCAUUCAAAUGUCACAUAAAAAACUUCAGUCUAUUGAUUUUUUUCUGCAAAUCCAGUUCAGUCCCACACAGACCUGGAGAGACCGCCAUGCAGAGAAACUCCAGCCAGAUACUGGUUUGGACUCCAAGACCUUCUUGCUGUGAGGUAACAGUACUAACACCACUGCGCUGCCCCACAUAAAGAUUGGUAAUGAACUUUUCAUUUUUCCAAGGUCUAUCAACUCAACCACCCUGUGACAGACUUCUCUACCCCGUCUUUCACCAUAUGAGCGCUGUUAUAAGCUCCAAUGACCCUGAUUUUGGAUAGGCAGAAGAAAAUGGGUGGAUGGAUAUAAGCAUGGGUCAAUGGAUGGAUGUAGCAGCUAAGUGAAAGGAUAAUAUCCACACUUAGAAUGCCAAGCAUGAGUAUCUGCAUCUGUGUUUUCAAUGUAAUCAGUUAAAGAAGAUCAGAGAAAGGAGCCUGCUUUGCUCUUGAAUUACAUUUUGUGUCUGCAUUUCAGUUUAAAACAUACUGACCUCAUUUACCCAAGUAAAUGGCUUUGUUCUUAAUAUUUCACUAACAAACUGAGCCAUUUACUUAUUUAAUCAUCUUUAAGCUGUGACAAUACACAUCUGAGAAGCUUGCGUACAAGAACUUGAUUGGAUGGAUUCUGUUUAGUUGUGUCUGACAGAAUUAGGUCUCCACAGGAAACUGAGUGUGGUAAGACCUGAGUGUGGGUUAAGGUGAAACAGCGAGGACUGUGACAUUAAUUCCCUGAGCUGUGCUAAUGCAAGUUCCUGCUGGAUCACAGACUACUUAAAUACAGCACCCCCUGUCCUCAUUGAAACACUUUCUCACAACCUACCUGCUUUACAGAAUCGUAGAAGAUUCUUAAUCUGAAGAUGUAUUUGAAAAGUUUCAUUCAGAAUCUGAAAUAAUGUGGGAUUUUUUCCCCCACAAUUACAUUUUCCCACAUAUUUGUCAUCCGUUGUGUUUAGAAUAAAACAGUGAUGAGUUUGGCUCCCUCUGAUGGCUGUAUCAAAAACUCAUUGUGGAAGACCACCACACACAGCUCAUGCGCUGAGACAAUCAGCUAAACAGGCCGAAAACAACACAAAGUCAAUCAUUUCUCUGACUUUGCUGUUUUCCCAGUUUCUGAAGUUUAGUUUUUAUACAGUUGUCUUUGCCCAUGAAAAAUGUUCUUAAUAAAGUAAAAGCAUUUAUGUAUUUUCCAACAGCAACACUCUUUGGGUGAUCCAAAGUCACAGUUUGACCUCUUACUGAUGUUCUUUUCUUGUUAUUAUAAACUAAACAGUAGUGGUUGUACAUGGAAUAAACACUAGGAUACUUAAAACAUGAUCAAUCAGUAUGUUUACACUAACAAUGGAUCACGAACACAAUGGAUCAGGAACACUGUAGGGGUAGUGUCUCAAGACACCCACAGUGAAUAAUCAUUCAACUCUACAGUUCUCCUCAGGUCUGUGGAAAUUAAUGGUGCCUUUCUCACAGUGUUUUUGCUUUCUGUCACACAACUUUUACUUUCAUUCACUUGUAUAGCUCUCAUUUCAGCCAUGGUAGGCAGAUUUCCUCAAAAACUAAGUACCAUAAACCUAAUCAUGACUAAAUACCAGUAAAACUCAGUGACCAUUAAGCAGCUCAGGAGCCAAAUCUGGAGAGCAAGAGAGAGUUAAAUGGCUGAAGCUAGACAGGACGACUUGGACUCCUGGAGCCUGGAAGACCUCACUGCUGUGAAUGGUUAUUACAUCAUCUGAGUUAAUAGUCAACCAAUCAUCCAGGUGAGACAGGACAGGACUAGGCAAAGAGGUGUGCUCAUAAAGUACACGUUAUAUAUAUAUGUCCAUAUAGACUUUUACACUCCCCCCGGCCACAUACAGUAUAUACACUGAAAUUCUUUACUCUUUCACAAUUUUCAUUGCUAUUAGGUUUGCAGUUUUCCUAAUCAGAACUUUGAAUAUGAAGAGAAUUCAGCAGACUCUUUUGUCUGCAUUUACUUCACUGUAGUAUGCUACAUUUUUAAUAUUCUACACAUACGUCCCUACCACAUUUCAAAGACACUGGCAAUUUUUAUGAUGAAAUACAAACCAUUUCCUUUAGGUGGUUAUGUGCCUCAGCCUAGUCCACAGCUGAUCCAUUUAGCUGCAGCGGAGCUGAUCCAAUCUAGAAUCACCAAAGUGAAAUGUAAAGUGAAAGCUUGACUUACACUUUAAAGACAGACUGAGACAUGAUUCUAAAUGACGGCUAAAGCUGAUCAUUGCCUUGAUUCACUUUAAAAUGAGCUGUUUUCGUCAUUUCAACUGAAGGUGUUACAUACAAUUUAUCAACAAUGUUUUAAUUGCUGUUUUCUGCUGUCCCCAGAGGCCAAACUAGGAGCUGCAGGUUAAACGAUCCGUUUGUAGUGGAAUCAAAAGUUUAAAACAGGGGUCUCAACCGGGGGCCACUUGCGGCCCACGUCACCCCUAAUUGUGGCCUGUAUAUUGACGUGAAGAAAUAUAAUGCAAUUUGGCCCUUGAAGUUACCUUUUUAGUUAGGGAGGAUUUGUUUGUUGUUGAAUGCAAUGUUAAAAUAAGUUCUUUAAACAGCAAAAAAUUAUUUAAUAUGAAGGAAAUAUGAGCAGAGAGUACAAACAUGUUAAGGGAUUGGCUGUGUUAGUUCAGUGAGAGAGUGAAAAACUAAUGUUUACACUGAUGUCUGCAUUUUUAUUUUGUUAAAUACGAACAAAAUUAUAGCAGAGGUGCUGCCACGUGUCCGGCCAGAAAGAAAGCACCAAUUUGUUUAAUUUGGUAGUUCAAUGAAAGGCUUCAGUUAGUCAAGAGUGAGAAAAAGAAUUGCUUUCACGUUUGCAGUUUUGUCUUGUUAUACAAUAUUUGAAAUGUGAAAAAACAAACAAAACACUACAUUUUUGGAAAUAUUUGUGGGUGUUUUCUUGUUUGUUUGUUGUUGUUGUUGUUGUUGUUUGUACCACUUGAACACCAAAGUGGACCCACAGCUCAUUUUAGUUUGAGACCCCUGGUUUAAAAAAAAUGAAAUGCACCAAUAAUUUGUAGAGGUUCCACAACAAUACAGGAAACUGGGCAUGUUACUAGGACUUGAUACACUGCAGUACGAUGUGGUAAAGUUAUCUGUAUAUUUGGUAGAUGUUUGAAAUCUGGGAUUAAUCUAAAUAUCAUUAUAUUCAUGGUGUGUUUUGACAUAAAGCAGUUAAUUCAAUCUAUUCUGGAGAAGGCACAUUAUGGUCCAGGUUUUAUGUUCAAACAUGUUAUUGUUCUCUUGUCACCUUUCUUGUCAAAAAUGUUAAAAUUAGUUGCAGAAAUAUUGUUUAUUCUUGUGCCAAUGAGUUGUCAGCAACUGAAUGUACCUGCCGAGAAAGAGAUGUUCUAUUUGGUGAGGAGCCAAAAUAAAUGUUUGUUCAUUGAUCCAAUGUAAGCCAGAAGGCCACAUUAGUUUCACUAGGUAUUAACACUGUCACCUAACUUUGUAGAAUGUGCAAAAAAUGGUUGCUGACCGAAUUUAUUCUCUGAGAAGGAUCUGCUUUUCCGUUAUAUUCAUUUCCAGGAGAUCAAUCUUCUGUUCUAAACCAAAGUCUUAUAGUCCUGGUGUUGAAUGCCCAAAGGUAGACCAGCAGCACUUACACAAACCAUGAGGAACAGCUGACAAGUUUCAUAUUUUGGCUUUGUCAGUAAACAUGCUAAUAUUUCGGACAUUUGGUCUUCACCAGAACACUGUUGUUGUGCUGUAUUUAGUUACUCCCAAAGGGGUUGCUGGGUGUUACCAACUGGCUUGCUCAUUAGGGCUUAUUCCAGGUACACUUACCUGAGAUCUGCUGUGCCCACAUUCAAAUGACUCAGACACACGAUAGAGAAAAUAUUGGCAUAAGAUUCCGAAGAAGUGAUGGAAGCCGUAUGGUUUGUAACAAUUUGUGAUGUAGAUAAGUUCUCCUGGCAGUAUUCAGACCACAUUUGUGGUGGUCCAUGGCAGAAAUGGGCAAAGAUUUUUGAGUUGCAUCAGGAGUGUCAUUCCUCAGCUGCUGUAUCUCAAACUCUUCUUUCUGUCUGUGUUGAGGGGCAAGUCAGUAAUGCAUGUUUACGACUUUCUCUUUUUGGUUGUUGCAGCGUCUCGAACUAGUCUGGGAAACUGUUGAUGGCUGUCUCAGGAGCCAUUUUCCAAGGUUCUACCUGUACCCCCACAUCCCGUGUACAUGUUGACAAGAAAGGUACUUCCAAGAGUCUCAAGCAAGAAAUGUUCAAGCAAGGUAUGUGAAAGAAUGUAUUUAUGUUGAAGGUAGUAUGUCAGUCAUAUCAUUUGAAGUGUUAGUUACUAUGUUACAAAAAGUCUGCAUACACUGCAAAAUGCGUCAGUGGUCAGCAUGGCCAAAAUUCAUAGCUAUUUCAGCUGAAGAGACAACAGACACAAACAAGGGCACCCACCAUCCAUAACCUUUUUUCUUGUUGACGAUGACAUUCUUUCUUA